rnacentral:rRNA from 1 species
UACGUAGGGAGCAAGCGUUGUCCGGAAUCAUUGGGCGUAAAGAGCGCGUAGGUGGCUUUAUAAGUCCGUUGUGAAAGUCAAAGGCUCAACCUUUGAAAGCCGAUGGAUACUGUGAAGCUAGAGUACGGAAGAGGCGAGUGGAAUUCCUGGUGUAGCGGUGGAAUGCGCAGAUAUCAGGAGGAACACCAAUAGCGAAGGCAGCUCGCUGGGACGUUACUGACACUGAGGCGCGAAAGCGUGGGGAGCAAACAGGG